rnacentral:rRNA from 1 species
CAGCAGCCACGGGAAUACGAAGGGUGCAAGCGUUACUCGGAAUUACUGGGCGUAAAGCGUGCGUAGGUGGUGGUUUAAGUCCGUUGUGAAAGCCCUGGGCUCAACCUGGGAAUUGCAGUGGAUACUGGGUCACUAGAGUGUGGUAGAGGAUAGUGGAAUUUCCGGUGUAGCAGUGAAAUGCGUAGAGAUCGGAAGAACACCAGUGGCGAAGGCGGCCCGCUGGACAAGUAUUGACGCUGAGGUGCGAAAGCGUGGGGAGCAAACAGGAUUAGAUACCCCUGUAGUCCCUGUCUCUUAUACA